UACGAAGGGUGCAAGCGUUACUCGGAAUUACUGGGCGUAAAGCGUGCGUAGGUGGUUUGUUAAGUCUGAUGUGAAAGCCCUGGGCUCAACCUGGGAACGGCAUUGGAAACUGGCUUACUAGAGUGCGGUAGAGGGGUGUGGAAUUCCCGGUGUAGCAGUGAAAUGCGUAGAUAUCGGAAGGAACAUCAGUGGCGAAAGCGACUUCCUGGACCAAUACUGACGCUCAUGUGCGAAAGCGUGGGGAGCCAACAGG
rnacentral:rRNA from 1 species